rnacentral:rRNA from 1 species
UACGGAGGGUGCAAGCGUUAAUCGGAAUUACUGGGCGUAAAGCGCACGCAGGUGGCUGAGUCAGUCGAUUGUGAAAGCCCUGGGCUUAACCUGGGAAUUGCAGUCGAUACUACUCAGCUAGAGUAUGGGAGAGGGUAGUGGAAUUCCCGGCGUAGCGGUGAAAUGCGUAGAUAUCAGGAGGAACACCGGUGGCGAAGGCGGCCUGCUGGGACAGUGCUGACGCUGAGGCGCGACAGCGUGGGGAGCAAACAGG